UGUGUCGAUCUGCUUGAGGGUAGGAAGGCAGGAGGAUCUGGAUAGGCUGCACCGAUGGGCUGAGGUCAACUGUAUGAAGUUCAAUAUAAAGGUAUAAAAGGCAAGGAAACUGUGCUGGGUGUGCAGGGAGUCUAUGCUCCACCAACACGCACACACGAACAUCAAACAUUCUAAAUACAUGUAUACAGAACAUUGCUUUACAUAAUAACCCAAGUAUGCCUAUAUAUACAUACAAUCAGGAUAGGUAACAAACAAUCCUUUAAGUUCCAUAACUUAACAGUCUCCAUUUUCCAUUCCUUUUCUUGCUUCAGGCCUUAUGUAUCCCGUUCUUCCCAGAUUGAAGAACAUAUCCAUCUCCCUUUCAAGGCCAAGAGGCCUGAGUCAAAAGGCACAUCCAGGUCAGCAGGGGGCAAAACAGCAAAAGCCUUCGAUGGCUGUAGCAGCAGAGGGGCCAAUGCGAUGGCGUAGCAGUUGGAUCAGUAAAGGAGCCCACAGCUCCCUCACUAUCUGGCAAACCACACGUUUGUGAUUGUGGUCCCACAUGGCUCUUUAAGGCCUCAGAGACUGCUCGCCAGGUGCCGAGCAAUCCCACUGCAACCUUGUCAUUUUUAGUUGCAGAGUCCCACACCUUGACCUCAGUUUGGUCCCAUAUUUCAGGCUCAUAAACUGGCCAAUUGUUAAGAAGGAGAAUAAGCUGUAAGGUUACCAGGACAGUCUUUGUUCCUAAGGACGUAUGAUUCCCCAUAAUGUGCAGCUGCUUACCAGCUUGGGGCAGUUGUGUGUACAGGUCCGCUUCUCUCAGCGCAAGCUUCUCUCCAGCUCCAUUGCGCCUCAGAAUGGAGACCAGGACAGGAACAGGCACUUUGAUUGCCUCAUGAAGAUAGGUUCGGCCAGACUCAGCAAACUGCUCAGAGAAGCUCGUAUGGAUAGUAUCUGGAAAUAGGCGCAAUGGAGCUGGAAAAGAGGCAGUUUUCAAAUACCCUGAAAGAAAGGUAGUCUGGAGAAUAUCUCUAGAAUAUUUGGGGAAAUACUAAGAAAGGGAGCUUCUUAACACACUGAAAUGCAUGUGUCUGUGCACAAGACCACAGAGGAGAAAACUUUUUCAGACGGUUUGGGCAAGGAUAUAAGACAAUACCUGGAGAGACCUCAGCACACCAUAGUGAGAUCCAUAGCAAUAUUAGGUUUUUAGCAGUGUUUUUUUUUUUUUUUCCUCUUUAAUUUGGUCUUUUAUGUAUGUAAUUUCAAUAUUUUGAUAUAAACAAAAUCUUUCUUCCUAAAUGAUUGACCUUUUUUGUUCUGUCUGCUCACUUUGCAGUAUCAUGUUUGAUACCUUCUUUCAGUAAGUAUAGCUACUAUGGGACUGAUUAGAGCACCACAAAAACUGAAUAUAUAAACAACUGAAUGAAAAUCCCUAUAAUCGAUAAAUUAUUCUCUGUGCCAUUUAAUGCUAAAAGAGACAAUACAAGGCAGCAUUAUAUGCCCAUGCUCUUUCUUUCUUACAAAAUGAUAUAAACUACAAAAAAUAAGCU
rnacentral:lncRNA from 1 species